CUUGAUGCGAGUUAAUUGCUAUUAGUACAAAUAAACGUAACUGCUUAUUUGGAUGUAGCUAGCUAUUUUACUGUUAGAACGCAAGUUUUCAGUAUCAGUACUCAUCCUCCUGCAGUACCCAUGCUCUUGCACCUAUCCCCACAAGAUACAGACUCCCUGAUGCAGGACCUACAGGAGGUGCUGGGGAGUUUCACAGGGCCAGAUUGUCAUGUAACCCCAAAGGUGACUUGGGCAGAGAGGCAGACCUUGUGUGCACAAAAGUGGGGGGGAAAAGAGAGAGACAAUGGUCGACAGCAUGCUCUCUGCUGAAGGUACUGUAUUGGGCCAGUGUCAGUUUGAAGGGUUUUAUUGCCCCUUGUCCCCAACCAACCUUAAUUCAUCAAGAUGAUGAGGGGUCCCUUACCUUCCAGGAGCAAGUUUGUCUUUUGCCCAUAGCUAUGCCACAGCAGUGUGUUUUCGCCCCCGCUCCCCAGCGCCCUGACAGUGACGAGUGGCAAGCAGUCAUCCUGAUUGGAAUAAAUGGGUGCUACAAACUGUCCCUUCCUGAUCUGAACUGCUCUGGGUGUCUGAGACAUUGGAGAGUGGGGCUGGACGAACUGGUAAAGAGUGGCUACUGGCCAGCCACCAUGACUUACCAGACCAUCUUCACAGUGGACCUCUUCAAGUCCUUUGAAGACAUUAAAGUGUUGGCCCCAAGAUGCUCCCGUCAUGCCUUUGUGGGAAUGCUUGACGAAAGAACAAAGCACUUUGGCAGGAGUGGAAAGAUAUGUGGUGGCACAUUCCAGAAGCCAUUCCUCUAGUGGACGUAGGGUGUUUGGAAAUAACCAAGCUUUGUGGAAGCGUUCUCCUCCAUUGUCCUGCCUGCUCACAGGAGAUGCAUGGUAUAUCAGCGGAUGGGAAUUGUAAGCAAUACCGCUUCCAGAACGCCUCAGGGUUUGUACUACCUACUUAUGUGUUGAUGUUGUAUAAUUAUGCCUUCUUAAAGUGCAUGCUGGUCAUCUUUUUGGUAUGAAGCAUAUGUUUGUGAUGUUAUAUUAUAUUGCAGUUGGUCUUCUUUUUAGAAGAAGAUUAAUUGUCAAGUAGAAGGUCAUUUUCCAUGAAGAAAGAUUGUGGAACGGUGACGUUUUGUUCUUUAUCCCAACUCCUCUGAGAGACACACACACACACACACACACAC